UUGAAGACGUGAUGUGGAGUGAAAUAUAGUAACGAAGCCCGUGGGCCAUGCGUCAAGAAAAGCCGCUAUUGUUUAUAUUGUACCCGUACCGUAAACCGACACAGGUGGAUGAGGAGAGAAUCCUAAGGCCGGCGGAAGAAGUAUUGCCAAGGAACUCGGCAAAAUGGCCCCGUAACUUAGGGAGAAGGGGUGCCUGCGAGAGCAGGCCGCAGAGAAUAGGCUCAAGCAACUGUUUAGCAAAAACACAGGUCUAUGCGUAACCGAAAGGUGAGGUAUAUGGGCUGACGCCUGCCCGGUGCUGGAAGGUUAAGAGGAGAGGUUAGCGGCAACGCGAAGCUUUGAAUUUAAGCCCCAGUAAACGGCGGCCGUAACGAUAACGGUCCUAAGGUAGCGAAAUUCCUUGUCGGGUAAGUUCCGACCCGCACGAAAGGCGUAAUGAUUUGAGCGCUGUCUCGGCAAUACAUCCGGUGAAAUUGAAGUGCCAGUGAAGAUGCUGGCUACCCGCGCCAGGACGGAAAGACCCCAUGGAGCUUUACUCCAGUUUGGCACUGGGGUCCGGUGUUGCAUGUACAGGAUAGGUGGGAGGCUGAGAAACGGUAACGUCAGUUGCCGCGGAGCCGCUGUUGGGAUACCACCCUUGUGAUAUUGGGCUUCUAACCAGCCGCCGUGAUCCGGCGGUGGGACAAUGCCAGGCGGGGAGUUUGACUGGGGCGGUCGCCUCCGAAAGGGCAUCGGAGGCGCCCAAAGGUUCCCUCAGAAUGGACGGAAACCAUUCGAAGAGUGCAAAGGCAGAAGGGAGCUUGACUGCGACACCGACGGGUGGAGCAGGUACGAAAGUAGGGCUUAGUGAUCCGGUGGUAUUAAGUGGGAAUGCCAUCGCUCAACGGAUAAAAGCUACCCUGGGAAUAACAGGCUUAUCACUCCCAAGAGUUCACAUCGACGGAGUGGUUUGGCACCUCGAUGUCGGCUCAUCGCAUCCUGGGGCUGUAGUAGGUCCCAAGGGUUGGGCUGUUCGCCCAUUAAAGCGGUACGCGAGCUGGGUUCAGAACGUCGUGAGACAGUUCGGUCCCUAUCCGGCGUGGGCGCAGGAUAUCUGAGAGGAGCUGUCCUUAGUACGAGAGGACCGGGAUGGACGGACCGCUGGUGGACCGGUUGGCUUGCCAAAGCCAUGGCCGGGUAGCCAAGUCCGGAAGGGAUAAACGCUGAAGGCAUCUAAGCGUGAAGCCCCCCUCAAGAUGAGAUAUCCCAUUCUUUAAGAAGUAAACCCCCUUGAAGACGACGAGGUAGAUAGGGCAGAGGUGGAAGUGUGGCAACACAUGGAGCUGACUGUUACUAAUCGGGUGAGGGCUUGACC
rnacentral:rRNA from 1 species